ACCCGCCACACGAACAAAACCCCGGCGCGAGACGCGCCAAGGAAUCCAAAACGAAAAGACAGGGAACGGGCGGCCCCGUCGAGUGCCGGAGACGGAUCUCUCGCGGGCGGCCCAUUCCCGUUCGGAAACAAAACGACUCUCGGCAACGGAUAUCUCGGCUCUCGCAUCGAUGAAGAACGUAGCGAAAUGCGAUACUUGGUGUGAAUUGCAGAAUCCCGUGAACCAUCGAGUCUUUGAACGCAAGUUGCGCCCGAAGCCUUCGGGUCGAGGGCACGUCUGCCUGGGUGUCAUGCAUCGUCGCCCCUCCCCAUCCUUCCGGCUCCCCCCGAGGGGGAAAAGGGGGGGUACGGAGACGGGGCGGAGAAUGGCUUUCCCGUUGCGCUUCCCGCAUCGCGGGUUGGGCCGAAAUACGCAGUUGGUUGGCGGGUCCGAGAGGCGCCACC
rnacentral:rRNA from 1 species